UACGGAGGGGGCUAGCGUUGUUCGGAAUUACUGGGCGUAAAGCGCACGUAGGCGGCUUUGCAAGUUAGAGGUGAAAGCCCGGGGCUCAACUCCGGAAUUGCCUUUAAAACUGCAUCGCUAGAAUUGUGGAGAGGUAAGUGGAAUUCCGAGUGUAGAGGUGAAAUUCGUAGAUAUUCGGAAGAACACCAGUGCGAAGGCGACUUACUGGACACAUAUUGACGCUGAGGUGCGAAAGCGUGGGGAGCAAACA
rnacentral:rRNA from 1 species